GCCAGGCAUGGGGGCGCACGCCUGUGAUCCCAGGUCCUUGGGAGGCUGAGGCAGGAGGAUCACAAGUUGGAGGCCAGCCUCAGCAACUUAGCGAGCCCUUGUCUCAA
rnacentral:sRNA from 1 species